rnacentral:rRNA from 1 species
UACGAAGGGCGCAAGCGUUGUUCGGAAUGACUGGGCGUAAAGGGUGCGUAGGAGGUCAUAUACGUAAGGUGUCAAACCGUUGUGCUCAACACCAAAGCGCGUCUUAUACUGCAUGGCUAGACCGUGGUAGAGGAAGUUGGAAUUCCUAGUGUAGGGGUGAAUUCCAUACAUGUUAGGAGGAAUAUCGAAAGCGAAGGCAGACUUCUGGAACACAGGUGACUCUAAUGCUCGAACGUGUGGAGAGCAAGCAGG